rnacentral:rRNA from 1 species
AGCAGCCGCGGUAAUUCCAGCUCCAAUAGCGUAUAUUAAAGUUGUUGCAGUUAAAAAGCUCGUAGUUGAAUUUCGGGAUCAGUUGGUCGGUCGUGCCUCGGUACGUACUGGUCAAAUUGAUUCCUACCUUCUGACGAACCACGAUGUCAUUAAUUUGGUGUCGUGGGAAAUCAGGACUGUUACUUUGAAAAAAUUAGAGUGUUUAAAGCAGGCUCGCGCUUGAAUACAUUAGCAUGGAAUAAUGAAAUAGGACGUUUGAUUCUAUUUUGUUGGUUUCUAGGAUCGACGUAAUGAUUAAUAGGGAUAGUUGGGGGCAUUAGUAUUCAAUUGUCAGAGGUGAAAUUCUUGGAUUUAUUGAAGACUAACUACUGCGAAAGCAUUUGCCAGGGAUGUUUUCAUUAAUCAAGAACGAAAGUUAGGGGAUCGAAGACGAUCAGAUACCGUCGUAGU